AGUGAACGCUGGCGGUAGGCCUAACACAUGCAAGUCGAACGGCAGCACAGUAAGAGCUUGCUCUUACGGGUGGCGAGUGGCGGACGGGUGAGGAAUACAUCGGAAUCUACUUUUUCGUGGGGGAUAACGUAGGGAAACUUACGCUAAUACCGCAUACGACCUACGGGUGAAAGCAGGGGAUCUUCGGACCUUGCGCGAUUGAAUGAGCCGAUGUCGGAUUAGCUAGUUGGCGGGGUAAAGGCCCACCAAGGCGACGAUCCGUAGCUGGUCUGAGAGGAUGUUCAGCCACCCUGGACCUGAGACCCGGUCCAGACUCCUACGGGAGGCAGCAGUGGGGAAUAUUGGACAAUGGGCGCAAGCCUGAUCCAGCCAUCCCGCGUGGGUGAAGAAGGCCUUCGGGUUGUAAAGCCCUUUUGUUGGGAAAGAAAAGCAGCAGGUUAAUACCCCGCUGUUCUGACGGUACCCAAAGAAUAGCACCGGCUAACUUCGUG
rnacentral:rRNA from 1 species